CUCAAUAUUCUUAAUUUAUCGCUCUCUAUAACAAUCAUCAUCUAUAGUCUGAUAUGGGGAUUCCAAGGUAUAUAGUAGCUGGCCCAUCGGAAAUGCUUGCCAUCACGGGAAAUGGCAUACCUGAAAUACUUCUGAAGAAGAAGCAUUUUUUAUGGCCCCUCCAAAAAUGCACUACGCUUGACAUUUCCCCGGUGAACUACUCGUUCCAGGUUCAAGCUAUGAGCGCGGAAAAACUCCCUUUCUACCUCCCCGCGGUAUUCACAAUUGGGCCAAAAGUGUUGGAGGAGACGAAUUAUGAGAGCUUGAUUAAGUAUGCAAAACUUAUGUCUAAUAGUGACAAGCAAUCAACUCAUAUACAAGAUCUUGUCAAGGGAGUUAUCGAAGGGGAAACUCGUGUACUUGCAGCUUCCAUGACAAUGGAACAGAUUUUUAAGGGAACAAAGGAAUUUAAGCAAGAAGUAUUUGAUAAAGUACAACUUGAAUUGAAUCAAUUUGGGCUUUAUAUCUAUAAUGCUAAUGUUAAGCAACUUGUAGAUGUUCCUGGCCAUGAGUAUUUCUCUUACCUUGGACAAAAGACUCAGAUGGAGGCUGCUAAUCAAGCAAAGAUUGAUGUAGCGGAGGCGAGGAUGAAAGGAGAGAUAGGUGCAAAGCUAAGAGAUGGAGAAACAAAGCAAAAUGCUGCUAAGAUUGAUGCUGAGACAUUUAUUGAAUCAACGAUAAGGCAAGGAGAAGGAAAGAAGGAAGAAGUUAGAGUAAACACUGAAGUUAAAAUAUUUCAGAACCAAAGAGAAGCUGAGGUUGUUGAGGCAACUACUGUGCUGGCAAAGAAGAAAGCAGGGUGGUCUCAGACUGCCAGGCUGGCGGAGGUGGAAGCCGAGAAGGCGGUAGCCAUAAGAGAAGCAGAGCUGCAAAUGGAAGUGGAGAAAAAGAAAGCUUUUGUUGAGACUGCUAAGCUCAAGGCAGAGCUUCUCACCAAGGCUACUGUGGAAUAUGAUAUUAAGGUGCAAGAGGCAAAUUCUGAAUUAUACAAGCGACAGAAAGAAGCAGAAGCUGCACUAUUCGAGAGCCAGAAGAAAGCAGAGGCACAAAGAGCAAAUGCAGAUGCUGAACUCUAUGCUAGGCAGCAGGCUGCAAACAGCGAGCUGUAUGCAAAACAGAAAGAAGCGGAAGGAGUAGCAAUGAUUGGGAAAGCACAAGCCAUUUACUUAGGAUCCAUUCUUAAGGAAUUGAAUCACAAUUACCCUGCUCUCAGAGACUAUUUGAUGAUCAACAACGGUAUCUAUCAGGAAAUUGCAAAUACCAACGCUCAAGCAGUGCAAGGUAUGCAGCCAAAGAUUAGCAUUUGGUCAGGCUCUAAUAGCACUGAAAGCAAUGGUGGCGAAGGAUUGAAGGAUGUUGCUGGUUUGUACCGCAUGUUACCUCCUCUGCUUGAAACUGUGCACGAACAAACUGGGAUGCAGCCUCCUGCUUGGCUUGCGACAUUGCCUGACCUGUCAUCAUCAAAUCGAUCUCUGUAAUUAACAAUGGGUAUUCCACAGUAUAUAGUUGCUGGUCCAUCGGAGAUACUUGCCAUCACCGGAAGUGGCAUAAAAGAAAUUAGACUGGAGAAGAAGCACUUUUUAUGGCCCCUUCAAAAAUGCACCAGGCUUGAUAUAUCACCUGUCAACUAUUCGUUCGAAGUUCAAGCUAUGAGUGCUGAAAAACUCCCUUUUGUUCUCCCUGCUGUUUUCACAAUUGGGCCACAAAUGGACGAAAACAAUGAGAGUCUGAUUAAGUAUGCACAGCUUGUAUCUAAUCAUGACAAGAAUUCAAAUCAUGUUAAAGAACUUGUAAAGGGAAUUAUCGAGGGGGAAACGCGUGUUCUUGCUGCUUCAAUGACUAUGGAACAGAUCUUUAAGGGAACUAAAGAGUUUAAGAAAGAAGUAUUUGAGAAAGUGCAACUUGAAUUGAAUCAAUUUGGGCUUUAUAUCUAUAAUGCUAAUGUUAAACAACUUGUAGAUGUACCUGGCCAUGAGUAUUUCUCUUACCUUGGACAAAAAACUCAGAUGGAAGCUGCUAACCAAGCUAAGAUAGAUGUAGCAGAGGCGAGGAUGAAAGGAGAGAUAGGUUCAAAGCAAAGAGAUGGAGAAACAAAGCAGAAUGCUGCUAAGAUUGAUGCUGAGACAAUGAUCAUAUCAACCAGAAGGCAAGGAGAAGGCAAAAAAGAAGAAGUUAGAGUAAAGACUGAAGUUAGAGUAUUUGAAAACCAAAAAGAAGCAGAGGUUGUUGAGGCAAGUGCUGAGCUGGCAAGGAAGAAAGCCGGGUGGUCUCGGACUGCCAGGCUGGCGGAGGUGGAAGCUGAGAAGGUGGUGGCAAUAAGAGAGGCAGAGCUGCAAAUGGAAGUGGAAAAGAAGAAAGCUCUUGCUCAGACUGCUAAGCUCAAGGCUGAUCUUCUCAGCAAGGCUAAUGUUGAAUACGAUAUUAAGGUGCAAGAGGCAAACUCAGUAUUAUACAAGCGACAGAAAGAAGCAGAAGCUGCACUAUUCGAGAGCCAGAAGAAAGCAGAGGCACAAAGAGCCAGUGCAGAUGCUGACCUCUAUGCUCGGCAGCAGGCUGCAAACAGUGAACUGUAUGCAAAGCAAAAGGAAGCGGAAGGAGUAGCAGCGAUUGGAAAAGCACAAGCCAUGUACUUAGGAUCCAUUCUCAAGGAAUUGAAUCACGAUUACUCUGCUCUCAGAGACUAUUUGAUGAUCAAUAACGGUAUCUAUAAGGAAAUUGCCCAACUCAAUGCUCAAGCAGUGAACGGUAUGCAGCCAAAGAUUAGCAUUUGGUCAGGCGCUAAUGGAGGUGAAAGGAAUGGUGGUGAAGGUGGGAGUGGAUUGAAGGAUGUUGCGGGUUUGUACCGCAUGCUGCCUCCUCUGCUUCAAACAGUGCAGGAACAAACUGGGAUGCAGCCUCCUGCUUGGCUUGCAACCUUACCUGAUGAAUCUAAAUGAAGUGCACUUUAAUUGCUUUAUGCUUUA